AGAGUUUGAUCCUGGCUCAGGAUGAACGCUAGCUACAGGCUUAACACAUGCAAGUCGAGGGGCAGCAUGUUGGUUGCUUGCAACCAAUGAUGGCGACCGGCGCACGGGUGAGUAACGCGUAUCCAACCUACCCUUGUCCAUCGGAUAACCCGUCGAAAGGCGGCCUAACACGAUAUGCGGUUCUCAGCAGGCAUCUAACGAGAACGAAAUGUGAAGGAGAAGGAUGGGGAUGCGUCUGAUUAGCUUGUUGGCGGGGUAACGGCCCACCAAGGGCGACGAUCGAGUAGGGGUUCUGAGAGGAAGGUCCCCCAGAUUGGAACUGAGACACGGUCCAAACUCCUACGGGAGCA
rnacentral:rRNA from 1 species